rnacentral:lncRNA from 1 species
GAUUUUCCUUUAAUUGACCUCCAAAUGGGCCACCAUGCAUGAAAGAUGUUGACAGUGGAUGGCAUUUCACCCAAUGUUAGGUUUGUAUGUUAAUAUGCUGAUACUUAAAAAUAAAUAAAUAAAAUAUUACAAAAACACCUCUUUUUAAGUAGGAAUAUUUCAGUGAAUUGCUGGCUUUCUUUAAACUAAACAGCUUUUAUCAAUGACCCCUGUAAAGAUCAACCAGACUCAUCCCUCUAACGUUAUUUAAGGACCCUUGGUGCUGACUGUUGUUAAGUAGCGUUGGAACAGACACUGAAAUUAAAGAGCUAUUUUCUAGUUUUAGCAGCUUUCAAAUACAAAAAAAUAUACAAAAUGUUUCUUUAUUCAGCUCAAAAAAUCGCAAAGUUUGCGAACAUGGCAUUUCAAAAUGUAAUUUGCCAUCAUGGCUUUGCAAUCGUAUCAGUGGAAUUUGAGACAGAGUGAGUCCUCUUCUUGUUAUUAAUCACUCUCUGCUCUCAGUGAACCAAAGAGCUUUUAUAAAUACCCGAAGCCUGAGUGGAGACUUCAGCUGACACACACACUAAUCCAAAUUUAACCACAGAUUUUAUUUAAGAUCACAUUAAACUCCAUUAUUACAUCGUUUUUUUCUUUAUCUGGAUAUUUUUUCUCGCUGCGAUAACAGCGUAAAAAAUAAACCACAAAAUAGCUACAUAAAUCGAACUGAAAAGUCUCCGUACAAUGACUGAGUAGUUUUAGAUAAGAGAUACAGCAGCAUGAACGCGGUAAAUCUGCUGAGCCUGUUCAUCCUGCACACUCAGUUUCUGCUCACUUCGUCUGAUGAAUUCCAGUCCCCGUGCCAGGUACCUGUGACGUCACAGUGCGAACAGCCAAUCACAGAAUUCAGGCGCUGUUACCAAGCAGACUGUACUGCUGCCUCCCCCGCUUCAGGCUGUUGCCGAGCUAAGCUGACUGUACUCAAGAGGACAUACGGAGAGCUGAGCAGGACUAGUAAAAAGCCCCGUCACUCUGGAUUUAUCACAUAUUCUCGUUUGACAUUAAAACAGCGUUUGAUAGUUAGUGAACUAUUCUAAGACUGAACUUUAUUGAAAUAGAGCAAAAUAACACGCCAGCUGUCUAAAGUGUAAAAUGUUACUGUUUUACAAGGUAUUUAAGUUCACUUUAAUUUCAAUGUUAGCAACAUAUUUCAAAAAAAUUGUUAUGGGAACUAAACAAAAUGUUUGUGUAAAGCUUAACAUUCCACCAGAAACAUCUCCUACUAGCUACUAAGGUUAAUUUCUAACAGGUUAGUAAGACUGGAUAUCAAAAGGACAUUCAGUGAGGCAGAGUACUUUAGACGAAAUGGUGGGAAGAGGUUCACCACUCUGUGAGAUGUGUAUCUGUAUGUAAUAAGAAUCACAUUCACGGUCAAGUUUUUUACAGGGAAGGAGAGCAGUAAGGGUCAAAUUUAGGGUCAGAAGAGACUAAAAUGAAGGAUUCUGGUGCAGAAAUAGCAACUGUAGGGUGAUGGUUUUGGUGUCUGGCCAGAAGUGACUCAGCAGCAUCAUCUAUUACUCACUGCUGCUUCGUCUACAUUUGUCCCUGUGCUUUCAGGCCUAACGGCAUCAUGACAGGGCCUGCCUCACACCCAGCUGAUGGAAAAAAAAAAGAACAGAAGAAUAAGAAGAAAGGAAAAGGAGAGGAGGAGGAUGUUUUUCUUCUGGUUCAGACUUGGUGGCUGCAGGAAAAUGUGCAGAGCAAAGACCUGUUUGCAUCCUGGGAAGAGUUUGUGUGCUGAGUUAAGUCAAAUCUAUGAUGAAGGAGAGGAAAUUCUUACAAAGGUUAAAGGUGAUGUAUAACAGCAGCACAUAAGUCUGUAUAAAAGUAAAAAUUUAAGUUUUAAAUUCAUCUGUAUCAUUGUCUGUGAUUGACUCCAGAUAAGUACUGCUUGUUGCUUGCCGCUCCUUAAAGCACUGGGCCCUAAUUUCAAUUCAGUGAAUAUGUUUUCCUAAAACGUAAAUGUAAGCAGUCAUGAUAGAUAUCCCUUUUUUAUCUACAGAAAGAAAUCAAAUGGCAACCAACAAACAGAAAAAAUCUGGGUGUGGUGGGAGCCCCGAGCCACCAGGUCAUGGUUAUCCAAUUCUCUGUUGAAAGGGCAACUGAACUUGCUUGAGUUUCUUGAAGACAUUUUGCCUCUUUUUCAAAAGGCAGAACUAAAGAUGCCUUUUGGAAGAGAGGCGGAACGUCUUCAAGAAUCUCAAGCAAGUCUAGUUGCCCUUUCAAUGAAGAAUUGGAUUCUGCAUUAUCAUUUCUAAAGAUCAGAGGCAGCCACUUGAUACAGAAAGAUAAAGCAAGAACCAAAAACACAUACUUAACCCAAACAUCAUUAGAAAUCAACAACAUUAAUUAGCACAAAAACUGUAAAAUGAUGCAGAAAUUUUUGAGUGUUUAAUAAAGUUGAACAAGAUGAAAGCAACAGAAUGUGAUUGAAAUAAAAGAACGAGAUCGAAGUAAUAAAAUGAGAUCAACAUGAUAGAAUGAGAUCAAUGUGAAACAAAGAGAUCAAAGUAUAAAAUGCGAUCCAAGCGAUAAGUAAUAGAAGUGACACAAUGGAUCAGCUACUCAUACUACAAACAGAGACAGGAACACUUCUGUACUGGAAUCCAAAUCCAAACUACUUUCAAAUUAUUGUAGAUUUGAAAGGAAAGCAACUGAAUGGUGUUCCUAUCGCAACAACUUUGAAAUAUCUUUGCUGCAUUUGGUCCAGUGGUGGAGAUCAGCAUGUCUGUUGUCGGUCUCAGCAUUUCUCCUAAUAAUCUGCAGAUUUAACCCCCCGCCCCCAAAUCCCCUAGAUCAGCUGACUAAUACCUCCCAUGGUGUAGAGGAGAAGAGGGAAAUCCUUCAUGUGAUUUCAUUUCUCAGAUGGAAACACAAACAUGAACAGGAGCGACAUUUCACACGUCAGUCAUUCUGCACUUAAAAUACACACCAACACACACUGGGCCUGAUCUCUUAAAGGUUUGCCAACAAAAACAUUUGCAAAUUUGAUAGCACGCAAAGCUCAUCUACUAACAGGGUGUACUGAGGAUUGUGCCUGGAAAAUGAACAAAACAGCAUGCGCGAUCGAUGUAGCGUGUUUGCCUUCACGAAUAUGCAGAAUGUACGUAGAUUAUCAGAACACGCAAAAUUCAGGGAGGAGCAGAUGCAAAUGGAAUCAUAUAGCACCCGCAGUGUGUUUUAUGAAGCCCGCAAACCGAUCGCGGUCACUUUUUAGUGUCUAUAUUUAGCAUAUUUGAAAGGCACGUGCAAACUGGCACAGCGUUAAGCACAAAUGGCUACAGUCAUUUGGGGAGAAAGAGGCGAAAGUGCAAUGAUAGACGAUGGAGAGAAAGAGAGUCUUCCGUGUGUCAACAUAUUUGGACUGUCAGAAAUAAAAAUAGUAGAGUAAUAUCAAUAGUUAUGCCAUUUUUGAGCUGCUGGAUGACCUAAGGGCUUAUUUGGAGCCAGUCACAAAAAUGAUCAAUGCCAUAUCUCUUAUUAAAAAACUCCCUGUAACACUGCAUUUUCCUGUGUCUGGAUCAUUCAAGCGCACCAGCACAGUUGGUGCGUCUCCCAGAAUAAUUUUUCUGGUGUGCUGUCCCAAGUGUUGAAUGCUAUGUCACGCAGGAUGGGCAAGUACGUCCAGUUCUUACGCAUUCAGAACGCAGUAAAUCACAGAAAACUUAGCAGGUCUUGGGGGCUGUUGAGUCUUGAAGACUGGGGCUGAGUGCUACAGAGCUCUGAGAUUAAAAACCUGUGAUUUAUAGUUUUUCUGAUAAAUGACAGUUUUCAUAAAUAAUGAGAUUUAAAAAAAUCAUCUGUUUGUCUUAUUGAUUUUAAAUUGUUUUAAUCCCUUUUUUGAUUUUGAAUAUAUUUUCUUGCAUCUGUGAAGCACCUCAAAUUGCCUUGUGUAUGAAUGGUGCUACAUACAAAAAACCUGUCUUGCUUGCCUUGCCUUUUAUGCAAUUCCCCAAAACAAUACGUGCAACUCCAUGGGUUCAAACUUUCAUCACCCACAACAUGCCCACUAAUGGCACGUGGAAUUUCUUAGUUUGCACACGCAAUUUAGCGCUUGUGAUUUGGGAGCUCAGCAGAGCAGGCCCACUGUGUAUAUUUUAUCAUUUAAAGCUCAGUUUUACACCAGAAUCAGACAGGAAAUACAGGUUACAGGAAAUUUUAAAAAUAAAUUCAGACAGAGAGGUGAGCAAAUUUUUAGUCUGCUCGGAUUCUAACAUGUUACAGUGACUGCAACAGUCUAUCAGCCUGUGAAGCGGUAAUAGAUAUUGCUUCAGGCUCAUGAAGUUUCAUGUCAGCCAUGUUUUCUGCCUGAUAAGUGCCUCUUUAAAUAACCUCCCUGUGGGACACUCACAGAUUUGCAAACUCGGCCUCAUGUCUUCAAGGGUCAACCCAGCCAGUUUACUUAGCCCAGCACUUUCACAUGGAGGGAGGGGGGAUUCUGCUCAGUGGGAAUCCAGCCCAGAAAGUGGCAGAGAUGAAAGUCACGUAGGGGUCAAAGUAGAACUUUUUAAAGGUUUACAGUUCAAGACAUGGACUCAUCAUUCAUUUGAAGCUUUUUUACCUGAGGGUUUCUGGACACAUGAAAAUCACCCGGCUUCAGACAGCUGGAACAAAUAGCAUCGUCAAAUUGAGUAGAUAUGGUUACGGUUGUUGACAUCCACAUGUAGCAGCUCAGUGCAACAUGAUCCUUUUUUUGGGGGCUGUGUUCGUCCGUGUGAUGAACAGGAGCAGUGCCAAUCUGCUGGAGGAGGUUCAGGGGACUUCCCUUGCUGCAGCCGUGGAACUAUUUUUACCUCCAGCGAGACUAAAAUUAAUCCUCCCUUCCCUAUGAGAUUAAUGCUGCUUCAAAAACAGAGAUAAUAUGUAAGGGAUAAUGUACAGUGAGCGAGUGAUUAUGCAAAUUAGAACCCACCAGCGUGAGACAAAACCCUGAUGGUUGUAUUUCAGGUCAGGUCAGCCGUACUCCUAAUUAUACAGUUUUAUACAUGUAAUAUCUUAGUGAUGCAAAACACAACAUAUUAGUUGUAUCAGCUAUAGUGAUACAGGGUAUAAAAAAUGUAUCUCCAUAAACAAAGGACACUGUGGGUCGUGGGCUCAGCACUUACCAACCAAAUGAAAGAGGGAGAGAGUCCACUGAACGAAAACCUCAGAGCUGACUGAACUAAAGUAAACAUCUGUCAAAGUUUCUGGUGCUGCAAAAACAGAGAGGAUGAACACUUAAACUCCCAGAAUCUGUCUUCUGACAGCCUUGAAUAUUAACAGCUAAUAUUGUGUCCAGAGGUUGACUGACUAAAAAUUAUUCUGUGUCUUUUUGUGUUUUGUGUUUUGCAGAUGCUCUAACAGUGUAUUUUGUCUUGCAUUUCUGCGACCACUGCUGAGCUGUUUGCUGAUUUUGUCUUUAUAAAAACAGUGUUUGGCAGAUCUCUCCGUCCGCUCUCACAGACAUUGUUAAUUGCCAACAAUUUGACACAGUUUCAAAUGUCUUUUCAUUAAACGUUGCGUUUAAAGUCCAUCCUACAGGACUGCACUGGCUAAUCUGAUUCUCUGUUUGAAUUUGAGGCCAAAUCUUAAUUAUUUGGAUGGCUGACAGUUCCUGUGAUUGAGACGAGAUAAAACAGAAAUGUGAUUUAUUUUGUGCCCUGAAUGCAUCAUCUGUUUGCUGCCAUCAAAGCCCGCGCUGCGUGCACGGCGGCGCUUCAUUUACCAAACACUGUGUUUAAAAAUUAAAGCUGUUUUAGCACAUCAAAGCUAACGCUACAAAGCUGUUUGCUCAAUUAUUAAGAGGCUCCCUUCACUGAAGCCGAGCAAAACGUCCACAUCAGGAGGUGGGUUACUGACUGUGAACGCAACAGGACAAAAAGACACAGUUUUAAGUUGCUAUCAGGAGAAACAAGUGCUCUAAAUGUGUGAGUAAAUGUUCUUUGACCUUGUCUGGAGUCACAGUUUUGAGAUUUAAAAUAAUAAAAACCCUUUGGUUUGAUCUGAAGUAUGACAUUAAAAUAUCUGUAAAUACUUGCCCCUUCAUUCCUUAAACAGUUUUUCUUUCUGUUGGGCCAAGCAGCAGCUUCUUCUGUUGAAAAAUCAAACUAAAGUGGACUUUAAAACACCGGCAGUUCCCCAAGUGUCAGCAAGAGGCUGUCUCCAAAUGUGAGUUACUCGCCAUAGGUAACUAUGUCCAGUCACAACCUCAAUUUCAGUGCGCUUCACAGCGCUGUCCAGCUGGUGUUGCAAAAACUCAAAUAUUAGCACCAAUUUUCUUGAGGCAACCUCCCAAAAGGCUAAAUUCAGCUGUAUCUGAGAUGGUCAAAAUUUCUGGGUAAAUGUGUAGUUAAGCCUAAUAAGGACUUUUUAGAAAAAGUAUAAAAGAAAUACAAAAAGUUUUCUGCAGUGUAGGUCCUGAUAGUUGCACUUCUGCUUCCGCUGGCAGUGUCUGGAACUGUGUACAUAAUAUUUGCUGCAUUUUGAUGGAAUUUUACGAAUUUAAGUUUUAUAGAUUGAUAAAAGUUGUGUCAGCAAAAUCAUAAACAUGAACAUAAAUAAAUAAAUACAUAUUAGCUUCCCCGUCAAUGCAUAGACUUCUUAGUUAAACCCCUUUAAUGCAACAUUGUAUCUCCUCCUGUCUGUAAUUUGCGAACAGACUUAGCACUUCAGUCUCUUAACUUUAUGUUAUUGUCAGUAAUUAGCCGCUUCCUGUUUACUGGGACGCCGUAGCUGCUUUUUUCUUCUUCUCCCUCCUCCAGCUGCAGGACUGUUGGCACAGCACCAAUAACAGUCUGUUUACCAUUUCAACAAACUCAUCUCCAUCUAAUUUAUAUGCCGAGAGCCUCUCCUCAGAGUCAGACAGGCCUUGCUGUGCAGGAACAGACCCCAUCACAACGACUCAUCAACCUUCCUGGAGAGAUAAAGGCUCAGGAAAAAAACUCGCUGAUGUGCUGCUUUAAAUCAAUAAGAGCCGCGAGCCAAAGGUGACGCAGUUUAUGAUCAGCUUUUCCCGUCAAUAACUGAUUUAAAUAUACUCCAAAAUGUUUAAAACAUUCUUUACUUUGCAUAGGUCUUACGUAGCAGACAUUAGCACCUCGAUGAAACAACUUCAGGCUCAAUAAUAUAAAACUGCAAUUCCUUGUGUGCCCACUAGAUGCUGGCUCCAAAAGUGAGUCAAUCCCCAUAGAACUCCAUGUUAAAAAGUCCAACUUUACAGCAGAAUUAAUCAUGUUUACAGCCUUAUUCAAAAGACAGCCUUGAAGUUAAUUUCUUUCAUCAGUCAGGGCCAAAAAAACACAUUUUUAUUGGCUUUGUAAAAAAUAUAUAUAUAAAAAAAAAUGUCAGCACAGCACCCUCUCAAUAUUUUAUAUUUUUUAAACCUUCAGCCCUCCAACUUACAUGCAUGAUUUUUGCACAUUGCAGCGUGUUAAUGAUUGUGCUACUUUCUCCUCCAAAUUUGUAGCUGCCACACGGGCAGAUCCUGCUGUACGUCUACAGAAGUCCAUCAUCCCUAUAUUGUUAUGAAUUGUUGUGAUCAGGGGCUGUUUUAAGGUCCACUAUGAUGCAAACAAGUCAUUUAUAAUAAGGGAAAAAACUUAAGAAACUUUCAGUGUCCUGUUGCACUUUUUUCCCGUUAUGUCAGAAGAAGAUUCAACAAGAUGGUCGUUAGUGUUUCUGUCAGAUUGUUAUUCUGCUAAAGGUGCUUUUUUGAGUGUGUUAUCCCAUACACCAUCACCAGAGAUACGGCACCCAUCAGACAUUUUUAAAAUGGACGUCCGAGUAAAAAAAAAAAAACAGCGGAAAAACUCUUUUGGACGCCUCGCAUCUGGAACCAGAGCUGUGUUGAUGUCACUGCAAGGGGACAAGAGGAAAACAACGAGGCUCUCUUUUUCCCUUCGUCUCUCCCCCUAAUCCUCUUUGCUGGCCUGCAGGGAGCACUGGGAUGACUGCCAAGGCAAGGGCUGCUGGGAAAACGAAGCUGCUGCCAAGUGGGAGCGGUGGCGGCAGCGUUGCACUCAGCUUUGUUCUGCCAGAGGCCUUGAUUCAGACUUUAUGAUUGGGCUGGGCCCUCGCCAACCUGAAGCUCCGCCCACCUCUCACUCUUACUUUAUUUUGUUUACCCACUUUGACUCUGUCACACACUUUUUUGUUUUCUGUUCCUCUGACACACACAAAACAUCUCUCUCUCUCUCUGCAGCCUGUACUCGUUCGCCCCGGCUCAGAGCCAAGGACUUCCUGCCAAACAUUCGUCAGUUGCCAUGGCGGCAGAGAGAGCAAGGAAAGCAGAGCAUCAGGGCGAGCCAAGAAUAAUGAGUCACUCCUGGAGCCAGAUGUGCCACAUCUGCAGCCACGAGGGGGUU